UACGUAGGGUGCAAGCGUUAAUCGGAAUUACUGGGCGUAAAGCGUGCGCAGGCGGUUGUGCAAGACAGAUGUGAAAUCCCCGGGCUUAACCUGGGAAUUGCAUUUGUGACUGCUCGGCUAGAGUGUGUCAGAGGGGGGUAGAAUUCCACGUGUAGCAGUGAAAUGCGUAGAUAUGUGGAGGAAUACCGAUGGCGAAGGCAGCCCCCUGGGAUAACACUGACGCUCAUGCACGAAAGCGUGGGGAGCAAACAGG
rnacentral:rRNA from 1 species